GGGCAUAUAAAAAAACGCAAGAAACUUUGUGAAUUUUUGAAUAAAAAACAUAAAUGAAUCAAAACUUUCAACAACGGAUCUCUUGGUUCUGGCAUCGAUGAAGAACGCAGCGAAAUGCGAUAAGUAAUGUGAAUUGCAUAAUUCAGUGAAUCAUCGAAUCUUUGAACGCACAUUGCGCCCUCUGGUAUUCCGGAGGGCAUGCCUGUUCGAGCGUCAUUUCAACCCUCAAGCAUUGCUUGGUGUUGGGGCACCGCCUGUAAAAGGGCGGGCCCUGAAAUCUAGUGGCGAGCUCGCCAGGACCCCGAGCGUAGUAAUUAUAUUUCGUUCUGGAAGGCCCUGGCGGUGCCCUGCCGUUAAACCCCCAACUUCUGAAAAUUUGACCUCGGAUCAGGUAGGAAUACCCGCUGAACUUAAGCAUAUCAAUAA
rnacentral:rRNA from 1 species